CCUACGGGUGGCAGCAGUGAGGAAUAUUGGUCAAUGGCCGGAAGGCUGAACCAGCCAAGCCGCGUGAAGGACGAAGGUGCCAAGUAUUGUAAACUUCUUUUGUCAAGGGACAAAAUCAGGCACGCGUGCCCGACUGAGGGUACUUGAAGAAAAAGCAUCGGCUAACUCCGUGCCAGCAGCCGCGGUAAUACGGAGGAUGCGAGCGUUAUCCGGAUUUAUUGGGUUUAAAGGGUGCGUAGGCGGACUGUUAAGUCAGCGGUAAAAGCCCGGGGCUCAACCCCGGCGAGCCGUUGAAACUGGCUGUCUUGAGAUGGAGAGAAGUAUGCGGAAUGCGCGGUGUAGCGGUGAAAUGCAUAGAUAUCGCGCAGAACUCCGAUUGCGAAGGCAGCAUACCGGCUGCAAACUGACGCUGAGGCACGAAAGCGUGGGUAUCGAACAGGAUUAGAUACCCGGGUAGUC
rnacentral:rRNA from 1 species